rnacentral:rRNA from 1 species
UACGUAGGGGGCAAGCGUUGUCCGGAUUUAUUGGGCGUAAAGAGCGUGUAGGCGGUCAGGUAGGUCCGUUGUGAAAACUCGAGGCUCAACCUCGAGACGCCGAUGGAAACCAUUUGGCUAGAGUCCGGAAGAGGAGAGUGGAAUUCCUGGUGUAGCGGUGAAAUGCGCAGAUAUCAGGAAGAACACCCGUGGCUAAGGCGGCUCUCUAGUACGGUACUGACGCUGAGACGCGAAAGCGUGGGGAGCGAACAGG